rnacentral:rRNA from 1 species
UUAAGUGAUAAUUGCCUAGGAGAUACACCUGUUCUCAUGCCGAACACAGAAGUUAAGCCCUAGAACGCCGGAAGUAGUUGGGGGUUGC